rnacentral:rRNA from 1 species
CAGUCGCCGCGGUAAUACGGAGGGUGCAAGCGUUAAUCGGAAUUACAGGGCGUAAAGCGCACGCAGGCGGUCUGACAAGUCAGAUGUGAAAUCCCCGGGCUUAACCUGGGAACUGCAUUUGAAACUGUCAGGCUGGAGUCUUGUAGAGGGGGGUGGAAUUCCAGGUGUAGCGGUGAAAUGCGUAGAGAUCUGGAGGAAUACCGGUGGCGAAGGCGGCCCCCUGGACAAAGACUGACGCUCAGGUGCGAAAGCGUGGGGAGCAAACAGGAUUAGAUACCCGUGUAGUCCCUGUCUCUUAUAA